GAUGAACGCUGGCGGCGUGCCUAAUACAUGCAAGUCGAGCGAACGGACGAGAAGCUUGCUUCUCUGAUGUUAUCGGCGGACGGGUGAGUAACACGUGGAUAACCUACCUAUAAGACUGGGAUAACUUCGGGAAACCGGAGCUAAUACCGGAUAAUAUUUUGAACCGCAUGGUUCAAAAGUGAAAGACGGUCUUGCUGUCACUUAUAGAUGGAUCCGCGCUGCAUUAGCUAGUUGGUAAGGUAACGGCUUACCAAGGCAACGAUGCAUAGCCGACCUGAGAGGGUGAUCGGCCACACUGGAACUGAGACACGGUCCAGACUCCUACGGGAGGCAGCAGUAGGGAAUCUUCCGCAAUGGGCGAAAGCCUGACGGAGCAAAGCCGCGUGAGUGAUGAAGGUCUUCGGAUCGUAAAACUAUGUUAUUAGGGAAGAACAUAUGUGUAAGUAACUGUGAACAUCUUGACGGUACCUAAUCAGAAAGCCACGGCUAACUACGUG
rnacentral:rRNA from 1 species